CCUACGGGAGACAGCAGUGAGGAAUAUUGGUCAAUGGGCGUAAGCCUGAACCAGCCAAGCCGCGUGAGGGAUGAAGGUUCUAUGGAUCGUAAACCUCUUUUAUAAGGGAAUAAAGUGUGGGACGUGUCCUGUUUUGUAUGUACCUUAUGAAUAAGGAUCGGCUAACUCCGUGCCAGCAGCCGCGGUAAUACGGAGGAUCCGAGCGUUAUCCGGAUUUAUUGGGUUUAAAGGGUGCGUAGGCGGGCUUUUAAGUCAGCGGUGAAAGUCUGUGGCUCAACCAUAGAAUUGCCGUUGAAACUGGCAGGCUUGAGUAGGUUAGAGGCAGGCGGAAUGCGAGGUGUAGCGGUGAAAUGCUUAGAUAUCACGCAGAACCCCGAUUGCGAAGGCAGCCUGCCGAGCCAUGACUGACGCUGAGGCACGAAAGCGUGGGGAUCAAACAGGAUUAGAUACCCCUGUAGUC
rnacentral:rRNA from 1 species